rnacentral:tRNA from 1 species
CGGGGCGUAGCGCAGUCUGGUAGCGCAUCUGCUUUGGGAGCAGAGGGUCGCAUGUUCGAAUCAUGUCGCCCCGACCC